ACUCCUACGGGAGGCAGCAGUGGGGAAUAUUGCACAAUGGGCGCAAGCCUGAUGCAGCAACGCCGUGUGAGUGAAGAAGGUUUUCGGAUCGUAAAACUCUGUCCUAAGGGAAGAAACAAAUGACGGUACCUUAGGAGGAACGCCCCGGCUAACUACGUGCCAGCAGCCGCGGUAAUACGUAGGGGCAAGCGUUAUCCGGAAUCACUGGGCGUAAAGGGUGCGUAGGCGGCUUAGCAAGCCAGGGGUGAAAGGCAUUGGCUCAACCAAUGUAAGCCUUUGGAACUGUUAGGCUUGAGUGCAGGAGAGGUAAGUGGAAUUCCUAGUGUAGAGGUGAAAUUCGUAGAUAUUAGGAGGAACACCAGUGGCGAAGGCGACUUACUGGACUGUAACUGACGCUGAUGCACGAAAGCGUGGGUAGCGAACAGGAUUAGAUACCCUGGUAGCGACUGA
rnacentral:rRNA from 1 species